UGGGGAAUCUUGCACAAUGGGGGCAACCCUGAUGCAGCGACGCCGCGUGAGCGAUGAAGCCCUUCGGGGCGUAAAGCUCUUUCGACCGGAACGAUAAUGACGGUACCGGGAGAAGAAGCUGCGGCUAACUACGUGCCAGCAGCCGCGGUAAUACGUAGGCAGCAAGCGUUGUUCGGAGUUACUGGGCGUAAAGAGUGCGUAGGCGGUUUUCUAAGUUCGGUGUGAAAUCUCCCGGCUUAACUGGGAGGGUGCGCCGAAGACUGGGCAGCUGGGGUGAGGGAAAGGCAGGCGGAAUUCCUGGUGUAGCGGCGAAAUGCGUAGAUAUCAGGAGGAACACCGGCGGUGUAGACGGCUUGCUAGACCAUAACUGACGCUGAGGCACGAAAGCGUGGGUAGCA
rnacentral:rRNA from 1 species